UACGUAGGUGACAAGCGUUGUCCGGAUUUAUUGGGCGUAAAGAGCUCGUAGGCGGCUUGUCGCGUCAACUGUGAAAACCCGUGGCUCAACCAUGUGGUCUGCAGUCGAUACGGGCAGGCUAGAAUUCGGUAGGGGAGACUGGAAUUCCUGGUGUAGCGGUGAAAUGCGCAGAUAUCAGGAGGAACACCGGUGGCGAAGGCGGGUCUCUGGGCCGAUAUUGACGCUGAGGAGCGAAAGCGUGGGGAGCGAACAGG
rnacentral:rRNA from 1 species